GAGACAGAUGGAUGAAGCCUAAAGCGGGGAGGGGAAAACAUUGGAGUUGUUCUGCAUGACAUCUCAUUCACAAUGUAUCAGAGGUGGCGAAUCGCAUCUCUGCAUGUCUGGCAGACAUAUCAGUGUGGAUGAUGGGUCACCACCUCAAGCUGAACCUCGGCAAGACGGAGCUGCUCUUCCUCCCGGGGUAGGACUGCCCUUUCCAUGAUCUCGCCAUCACGGUGGACAACUCCAUUGUGUCCUCCUCCCAGAGUGCUAAGAGCCUCGGCGUGACCCUGGACAACAGCCUGUCGUUCUCCGCUAACAUCAAGGCGGUGCCCCGAUCCUGUAGGUUCAUGCUAUACAACAUUCGCUGAGUACGACCCUGCCUUACACAGGAAGCGGAGCAGGUCCUAAUCCAGGCACUUGUCAUCUCCCGUCUGGAUUACUGCAACUCACUGUUGGUGGGGCUCCCUGCCUGUGCCAUUAUACCCCUACAACUCAUCCAGAACGCCGCAGCCCGUCUGGUGUUCAACCUUCCCAAGUUCUCUCAUGUCACCCCGCUCCUCCGC
rnacentral:lncRNA from 1 species